AGCAGCCAGAGAUCGUCGGUCUACUACAAGGAAAGCGGCGGGCGAGAGCGGAUGAUCUGUGUUAGUGUGCGUGGCGUCGCGGUUCACAGUGAUCAGUGUGCGUUACUUCAUUACUCCUUCCCUACAGUCCUCAGCGUUGGAUUUGGUAAGUACCCGUAUCACAGGUCUCGUCGUGGGACAGACAGCGCUGGAGCACCCCUUCGAAAAUAGUAAAGUGAAGAUACUGUUUCCUAGGCGUUAGGGCGAUAGGAUGCGCGGCUAAUCGUCAUUGCGUUUCAGGUACAUAUUAAUGAAUACCCUCGAGUCUUUCCCAGAGUAGCAAUGCCCUUCUGUUGUCACGGUGACCAGACGGCAACUCGUGCCGGUGAAGAAAGACGGUGCUGGUGGUGGACGUGCUGCAUUCAUACGCGUUGUGUGGGAGAUGCAUUCACUCAUCUUAACCCGGUUGGUGCGUGUCCUGAAGAAAUUAUCGCGAAACUUAAAGCUCAAAAUUAGAUUGGAGUCACACAGGUGUAAAAGAAGAUAUUCGGGUGGAAGGCGGCAAAUCUCGCGGCAUUUGAAAAGUAACAUCAGCAGCGGUUGGUGACGGUUCAGCUUGAGAUGAGGUGCCGGCACGCUAGGGAGGCAACGCUGCUGGUGACGCUAGUGAAGCAGCCGGCGGGUGGUGAUAAAGGCUGUGCUGCACUUGCACAUUCAAUUAACUGAGUAAUGUUAAGUUUUCCCAUUGCCAUAAAUCAUAUAUUGUUGAAUAAAAGAUAAAACGAU